rnacentral:rRNA from 1 species
AACCCUGAUGCAGCUAUACCGUGUGUGUGAAGAAGGCCUUAGGGUUGUAAGGCACUUUCAAUGGGGAAGAAUUUAAUAUUGCUAAUAUCGAUAUUAAUUGACGUUACCUAUAUAAGAAGCACCGGCUAACUCCGUGCCAGCAGCCGCGGUAAUACGGAGGGUGCAAGCGUUAAUCGGAAUUACUGGGCGUAAAGAGCACGUAGGUGGUUUGUUAAGUCAGAUGUGAAAUCCCUGAGCUUAACUUAGGAACUGCAUUUGAAACUAAUAAACUAGAGUUUCGUAGAGGGGGGUAGAAUUCCAGGUGUAGCGGUGAAAUGCGUAGAGAUCUGGAGGAAUACCAGUGGCGAAGGCGACCCCCUGGACGGAAACUGACACUCAGGUACGAAAGCAUGGGGAGCAAACAGGAUUAGAUACCCUGGUAGUCCAUGCCGUAAACGAUGUCGAUUUGAA